rnacentral:rRNA from 1 species
UACGUAGGGUGCAAGCGUUGUCCGGAUUUAUUGGGCGUAAAGAGCUCGUAGGCGGUUUGGCAAGUCGGGUGUGAAAACUUCAGGCUCAACCUGGAGAUGCCACCCGAGACUGCUAUGACUGGAGUCUGGUAGGGGAGCACGGAAUUCCUGGUGUAGCGGUGAAAUGCGCAGAUAUCAGGAGGAACACCAGUGGCGAAGGCGGUGCUCUGGACAGUUCCUGACACUGAGGCACGAAGGCCAGGGGAGCAAACGGG